GGAGGGUAUAGCUCAGUGGUAGAGUGUGUGCUUAAACUUGCACGAGGCCCUGGGUUCAAUCCCUAGUACUUCCA
rnacentral:tRNA from 1 species